rnacentral:rRNA from 1 species
GUCUGUGGCCAUGCCACCCUGAACAAACCCAAUGUCUGUUCUCAGAAGCUAAGCAGGGCCUGGUUAGUACUUGGAUGGGAGACCACCUAAGAAGACCAGGUGCUGUAGGUA